UACGAAGGGGCUAGCGUUGCUCGGAAUCACUGGGCGUAAAGGGUGCGUAGGCGGGUCUUUAAGUCAGGGUGAAUCCUGGAGCUCAACUCCAGAACUGCCUUGAUACUGAAGAUCUUGAGUUCGGAGAGGUGAGUGGAACUGCGAGUGUAGAGGUGAAAUUCGUAGAUAUUCGCAAGAACACCAGUGGCGAAGGCGGCUCACUGGCCCGAUACUGACGCUGAGGCACGAAAGCGUGGGGAGCAAACAGG
rnacentral:rRNA from 1 species